AGUUCGGAUCGCAGGCUGCAACCCGCCUGCGUGAAGUCGGAAUCGCUAGUGAUCNCGGAUCAGCAUGCCGCGGUGAAUACGUUCCCGGGCCCUUGUACACACCGCCCGUCACACCAUGAGAGUCGGGAACACCCGAAGUCCGUAGCCUAACCGCAAGGAGGGUGCGGCCGAAGGUGGGUUCGAUAAUUGGGGUGAAGUCGUAACAAGGUAGC
rnacentral:rRNA from 1 species